CUUGCUUAGCAACUCAUGUUGUCAUAUUUAUUAAUCUUUACAACUGUCACUUUCAGCUCUCUUCUUUAUCACUCUCUCUCAUUCAUCUGUCAGAAUUGCCAGUCUUUCUCUAUUUCUUCAUAAUAAAGAGAGAGCUCAAUGUGCUAAUUGCUUAGUGUUCAUCUGAUAUCAAAUCACUUUAAAACUUCAUUGAUUUCAAGCUGUUUCUCUGUUUUAGCUCUUUACAACCAUCCUCUAUUUUCUCCCUGCAUUUUAUCAUUGAUAGCAAGCUUCACAUCAUCAUUUAUGCAUUAGAAAGUUAUUACUGACUGGUUAGAUCAGUGUUACAACAUGC
rnacentral:sRNA from 1 species